GUGCUUCCGGUCUUUGACAACCUGAUGCAACAGAAGCUGGUGGACAAGAACAUCUUCUCCUUCUACCUGAACAGGUGCAGCAGGAGAGGCGUGGCUCUUACCCUCCCUUGAGCUCUGCUUCAGGGCAAAGGAUAUAGAUGGGACUUAAGAGUCUGUGCUGUAGGCUUGGCCGUGGCAUCAGACCUAAGGGUAUCUGGUAGGUAGGAGUUAGUUACUUUACCUGCUUGGGAGAGAAAGCCAUGAGCCAGGGACUUCAGUCAGGAGAUGCUGGUUGCCUGGGUCAGAGUCUGAGCUGCUGGGAUCCAGGCACUGGUGAGAGCAGAUGUGGUCUCUGGGCUGCUGGUUGCUAGGAAAGACAUGGGUAUGAACUUUCUGUGACACCGCUCUGGGGACAGGGUCCAGGAACCUUCCCUAGGACAAGGUCAGGAGUCACUGGGGAGGACUAAGAGCCCUGGGUUAUACAUUGAGAGUGUCCUUGGAGGAGGAGGGGUGUCGCUCCCUGAGAGAUUUGGGAACUUUUCUGUUAGCAGCGAUCUCCCCCCUCCUCAGUACAAGUGAGACCCCCUCCCUGCACACACCCUUCCUCCUCCCUACACACACCCUUCCCCCUCCCUGCACACACCCUUGCAAGGAGCUUCCAGCAGGCCUGUCCAACAGUCUUGUUUAGGAACUUUACAAGAUGGGCAGCUGGGUGUAUGGGGCUCCUCACUCUCUGGGUUUAGCUCCUGGGUGUGGAUGGGGUGUAAGUAGGUGGCCUACUGCUCUGAGUUGCUGCUGCUGACCACACCUUCCUUUUCUGGGCUGACUUACUUGCAUGUCUAGCAAGGGUAACCUUCAAAUGCCCACCCCAUGCUCUCUAGGCCUGAACCCUAGCCCCUUGUUGAGGCUUACUGGCCCCAUGCUAGCCCAAAGUCUUCUAGUUUUGCUUCUCCCAUGUUUAAAUGGUAACUACCCAGCUUAGCUCUGGGCAGAGUGGCUCCCUAGAGGUAGGGGUGUGGAUGAAUAAAUAGGGUCAUUGACUUCGAGGGCCUCUGCUUCCUAGAAUAGGUAGGUGCCCAGAAGUUAGGCGGUCUGGGUGUAAUGACACGUGCCUUUAAUUCCAGCACUCAAGCAGCAGAAGCAGGAGGGUCUCUCUGAGUUCGGGGAUAGCCAGAGACAUCAAGAGAUGUUCUCUC
rnacentral:lncRNA from 1 species